rnacentral:rRNA from 1 species
GAUGAACGCUGGCGGCGUGCCUAAUACAUGCAAGUCGAGCGAACAGACGAGGAGCUUGCUCCUCUGACGUUAGCGGCGGACGGGUGAGUAACACGUGGAUAACCUACCUAUAAGACUGGGAUAACUUCGGGAAACCGGAGCUAAUACCGGAUAAUAUAUUGAACCGCAUGGUUCAAUAGUGAAAGACGGUUUUGCUGUCACCUAUAGAUGGAUCCGCGCCGCAUUAGCUAGUUGGUAAGGUAACGGCUUACCAAGGCGACGAUGCGUAGCCGACCUGAGAGGGUGAUCGGCCACACUGGAACUGAGACACGGUCCAGACUCCUACGGGAGGCAGCAGUAGGGAAUCUUCCGCAAUGGGCGAAAGCCUGACGGAGCAACGCCGCGUGAGUGAUGAAGGUCUUCGGAUCGUAAAACUCUGUUAUUAGGGAAGAACGAAUGUGUAAGUAACUAUGCACGUCUUGACGGUACCUAAUCAGAAAGCCACGGCUAACUACGU